rnacentral:rRNA from 1 species
GAUGAACGCUAGCGGCAGGCUUAAUACAUGCAAGUCGAGGGGCAGCAGGACUGUAGCAAUACAGUUGCUGGCGACCGGCAAACGGGUGCGGAACACGUACGCAAUCUACCCGAAACUGGGGCAUAGCCCGGGGAAACCCGGAUUAAUACCCCGUAACACUUUGAAGUGGCAUCACUUUAUAGUUAUAGCUCCGGCGGUUUUGGAUGAGCGUGCGGCUGAUUAGGUAGUUGGCGGGGUAACGGCCCACCAAGCCUACGAUCAGUAACUGGUGUGAGAGCACGACCAGGCACACGGGCACUGAGACACGGGCCCGACUCCUACGGGAGGCAGCAGUAAGGAAUAUUGGUCAAUGGACGCAAGUCUGAACCAGCCAUGCCGCGUGGAGGAUGAAGGCCCUCUGGGUUGUAAACUUCUUUUAUAGGGGACGAAACCUCUUUUUCUUGAGAGACUGACGGUACCCUAGGAAUAAGCACCGGCUAUCUCCGUGCCAGCCGCCGCAGUAAUAC